GACGUAGGAUGCAAGCGUUGUCCGGAUUUAUUGGGCGUAAAGAGUUCGUAGGUGGUUCGUUAAGUCUGAUGUUAAAGACCGAGGCUCAACUUCGGGACUGCAUUGGAUACUGGCGGACUUGAGUGUGGUAGAGGCAAUCGGAAUUCCAGGUGUAGCGGUGAAAUGCGCAGAUAUCAGGAGGAACACCGGUGGCGAAGGCGGGUCUCUGGGCCGAUACUGACGCUGAGGAGCGAAAGCGUGGGGAGCGAACAGG
rnacentral:rRNA from 1 species